rnacentral:rRNA from 1 species
CCUUACCUGGUCUUGACAUCCACGGAAUUCGGCAGAGAUGCCUUAGUGCCUUCGGGAACCGUGAGACAGGUGCUGCAUGGCUGUCGUCAGCUCGUGUUGUGAAAUGUUGGGUUAAGUCCCGCAACGAGCGCAACCCUUAUCCUUUGUUGCCAGCGGUCCGGCCGGGAACUCAAAGGAGACUGCCAGUGAUAAACUGGAGGAAGGUGGGGAUGACGUCAAGUCAUCAUGGCCCUUACGACCAGGGCUACACACGUGCUACAAUGGCGCAUACAAAGAGAAGCGACCUCGCGAGAGCAAGCGGACCUCAUAAAGUGCGUCGUAGUCCGGAUUGGAGUCUGCAACUCGACUCCAUGAAGUCGGAAUCGCUAGUAAUCGGGAUCAGA